CGCGAACGCUGGCGGCAUGGCUAAAACAUGCAAGUCGAACGAGAAAGUCACUUCGGUGGCGAGUAAAGUGGCGAAAGGGCGAGUAACGCGUUCCUAACGUACCCCCAGGUCAGGGAUAGCAUCGGGAAACCGUUGGUAAUACCUGAUGACCCCGAUUGAUCGCAUGGUCGAUCGGGCAAAGGCUUGCUGCCUGGGGAUCGGGGAACGUCCUAUCAGCUUGUUGGUGAGGUAAAAGCUCACCAAGGCGAAGACGGGUAGCGGGUGUGAGAGCACGACCCGCCGCAUCGGGACUGAGACACUGCCCGGACUCCUACGGGAGGCUGCAGUAACGAAUAUUCCGCAAUGCACGAAAGUGUGACGGAGCAAUGCCGCGUGUAGGAUGAAUCUUUUCGGAGUGUAAACUACUGUCAGGGACUAGCAACACAAUGAGCAGUCCCAGAGGAAGGACCGGCUAACUU
rnacentral:rRNA from 1 species